GUCCCGAUGGUGUAGCGGAUCGCAUCGGAGCCUCCGAAGCUCCAGGUCCACGUUCGAUUCCUGGUCGGGAUA
rnacentral:tRNA from 1 species